rnacentral:lncRNA from 1 species
AAAAAUUUGCCUAAUCAUAUGAGAGUGAUCACCUCUCACAAUCUUAAGCAUUCACAAAUUUCAUUCACCUUUUCUCAUUGCAUAAUUGUUACACUUUUUCACACAACUUAUUAGCACAAUUUAUUUGCUAUUUUUUUAUAUUUUUUUCUUUCUUUUUCAAUGCUUUUUAUUUUUCUUUUCUUUUUCUUUCUCGAUCUCUUAUCAAC